GACCUUCAAAACAUUUUCUAGUCUGUACAUGCCAUAGUUAGAAUUUAAAUAUUUUAAAUACCGAGACAAUAGAUAAGGUGAUAAACUUGCUGACGAUCCCUGAGCUUGAAGCUUGAUUUGAUUUUUGUUUUUUGAUCUAUAAACAGAUAGACGUAAACAAACAAAGUAAGCUUACAUAGCUUAGUAAGUCUAUAGCAUAACUAAAAUAUAUAUAAAAGAAGAAUAAUAUAAAUUCAUAAUUAAACUUAUUGAAAUCGCAAAUACGACAUAUAUUACUAUUUGAAUAUUUGUUACUCAUAAUCAUCUUAUUUAUAAUCAAAUAUAUGUACUCGUAGAAUGCUUACCAAUGAAUAUAUAAAUAUGUAUAUACAAUAUGCAUAACAAUUGUAUAUUUAAAGACUCAUCAAAAACUUACAACCGAAUACUUUUAUAUAUCAUUUACAUAUAAACAAAUGCAUACAUCAUUAUCAAAUACCUAAAACCAAAUGCAUAUACACUUCAUAUGUGUGUAACCGAACGCAUAUUUAUGUACUUAACAAAUUUUAUAUCCGAAUAUAUAUAUACAUACACAUCAAACGAAUAUAACCAAAUACAUUUACACUUACCAAAAUGCAUAUAUAGAUUUCUCACAUACAUCUAUCUGAACGCGAAUAUACCUAACAAUUUCAUAAAAUUGAAUAUAUAUAUAUAUAAAUCCAUACUCAUCAAAUACAUAUAAACUAAUGUUUAUAUGCUCAUCAAACACAAUGACCAAAUGUAUAUACAUAUUCUAUAAAUCCAUAUGACUAAAUCAUACACAUAUUCGAUACAUGUAAACACAUGAUAUGAAUAGAUUCACCGGCACAAAACCUGCUAGGCUUAAGGCCUGAUUCAAUACACUGGCACUUAGCCUGCUAGACAUAAAGUCUGAAAUGUUUCACCGACGUCAAGCCUGCUAGACUUAAAGUCUGAAAUGUUUUACCGGCGUCAAGCCUGCUAGACUUAAAGUCUGAAAUGUUUCACCGGCGACAAGCCUGCUAGACUUAAAGUCUGAAACAUAUCACUGGUAUCAAGCCUGCUAGGCACCGAGCCUGAACACUCAAUUUAUAUAAAUACAAAUCACUUUCAAAAUGUAUAUGUAUAUAAGAUUCCAUGUAUAAAAAUUUAGCUCAAUAUAUAUAAAUUAUGCCUUUAAACCACAUAGGUAUAUAAAGUUCAGAUAUUGAAUCCAGCUCAAUAACUUAAUUAUACAUAUGAUCAUAUACAGAUAUAUAACUUAAUACAUUAAGGGCUACUAUUAAUAUCAUGCAUUCGAACAUCUUAUAGUAAUCCAAGCUAACAAUUUUGUACCUUCAACUCCAUUCAAAAGCUUCACAUGAAUAUAAUUACAUAAUUGAAUCUCACAUAAACUUAUAUAAUUAUCAUACCUAAAUUCAAUACAUAAACAUGUACAUAUAUAAGUUUGUAUAUAUUCGAGUCUCAUACAUACUUUAUGUAAUAGUCAUACCUAAAUUUAACACAAAACAUAUUCAAUUAUAUUUGUAUUUCCGAACUUCAUAUAAACUUAUAUAAAAAUUAUACCCAAACUCAAUACAAAAACAUAUACAUGUAAAUAUAUAUUUAUGUGCUCAUUCAAUUCUAUCAUAUACAUAUAAAUUUCAACUCACAUGUACAUACCAUUUCAAAACUACUUAUGCAAAUAUAACAUAUAUAUUUUUAAUCAAUCCAAUAGUUUGUACAUAUAUGUACUUACAUAUAUAUACAUUCGAACCUUAUAUUUAUAUAUAUAUACUAUACAUACCUUUCGAUUAAUAACCAAGAAUUUAUACAUAAGCCAUAUUCAUUCUUCAACUAAAUUCAAGAGCUUACAUAUAUGUGUAUACAUAUAUGUAUAUUCGAACAUUAAUCAUAUAUUUAUAUAUAUACAUAUCAUUUUUACUUUGACUAAAUUCAAGCUAUAUACUUUCAAUUUAAGCUCAUCCAAAUACAAUAUAUAUAUAUGUAUAUUAAUUAAUAACAUUAAAUUGCUAGUUGACUUACCUCGGACGGUGAAAAAUCGAAAUCGGAAGAUUAUUCGACGAUUUUAUCUUUCCCCCGAUCGAACUCCGAUUUCUUUGGUUCUUGAUCUAAAUAUAUCUAGAAUGAGCUAAUUUAAAUAUUAAAACAUUCAAUUUAAUCCAAAAACACAUAAAUAGGAAAAUUACCAUUUUGCCCCUAAUAUUUUACACUUUUUGCAAUUUAAUCCCAAUUGCAUAAAACACAAUUUACACAAAAUCUCACAACAACAUAGCUAGGCCGAAUCUUCCUUGUAUUCAUACAAGUCCAUGCAUUUCAUUUAUUUUUCAUUUUAGUCCCUCAAAAAUUUAUUUUUUUAAUUUAGCCCUAAUUACUCAAAUUUACCAAAAAUUCAAAGACAAAACAUGUUAAUCUAACACAUAUAUUUCAUAAUCCAUCAUCAAACAUCAUAGAACACAAUUAUUCAUUAAUGGCAUAACUCAAAAUAUUCAUCAAAAUCAAAAAUUCUAGCAUGGGUCAGAUGGUAUUCGAAGCAACGAUCUCAAAAAUAUAAAAAUUAUCAAAAACCGAGCUAGAACUCACCUUGAAUCAAGCUCAACAAUGGCCGAAUACCCUAGCUUUGUUUCUUUGUUUUGUUUUUGUUCUGUUUCGUGAUGAAGAUGAAGGGAAAAA
rnacentral:lncRNA from 1 species